rnacentral:rRNA from 1 species
UACUGAGUGGCAAACGGGUGAGUAUAAUGUGGGAAUCUGCCUUUUGGUUUGGAAUAACACGGGGAAACUUGUGCUAAUACCGAAUAAGCCCUUACGGGGAAAGUUUUAACGCCGAAAGAUGAGCCCGCACUUGAUUAGCUAGUUGGUAAGGUAAAAGCUUACCAAGGCAAUGAUCAAUAGCUGUUCUUAGAGGAAGACCAGCCACAUUGGGACUGAGACACGGCCCAGACUCCUACGGGAGGCAGCAGUGGGGAAUCUUGCACAAUGGGGGAAACCCUGAUGCAGCGAUGCCGCGUGAGUGAAGAAGGCCUUUGGGUUGUAAAACUCUUUCGUCGGGGAAGAAAAUGACUGUACCCGAAUAAGAAGGUCCGGCUAACUUCGUGCCAGCAGCCGCGGUAAUACGAAGGGACCUAGCGUAGUUCGGAAUUACUGGGCUUAAAGAGCUCGUAGGUGGUUAAAAAAGUUGAUGGUGAAAUCCCAAGGCUCAACCUUGGAACUGCCAUCAAAACUUUUUAGCUAGAGUGUGAUAGAGGUAAGUGGAAUUUCUAGUGUAGAGGUGAAAUUCGUAGAUAUUAGAAAGAACACCAAAUGCGAAGGCAACUUACUGGGUCACUACUGACACUGAGGAGCGAAAGCAUGGGUAGCGAAGAGGAUUAGAUACCCUCGUAGUCCAUGCCGUAAACGAUGUGUGCUAGACGUUGGAAAUAUAUUUUUCAGUGUCGCAGCGAAAGCAUUAAGCACACCGCCUGGGGAGUACGACCGCAAGGUUAAACUCAAUGAAUUGACGGGGA